UAGCUUAGGGAAUAAAGUGCUUGCUUUACAAGCAUGAGGUCCUGGGUUCGGUUCCUAG
rnacentral:tRNA from 1 species